rnacentral:lncRNA from 1 species
UACUCGUUCUGACUUUAUGCAGUGCUGUGAGCCAUUGCAUGAGGUGACGGCUGCUUAAAUACUGAAUGAGUCUGGCUUGCAGCUAUAUCGGUGAUUGCAGUUGAUGUUACAUCCCAAAAUGAAAGACAUCUAGGAGACCAGACAUCAAAGUGAGAACACAUGCAGGCACGGAAUGAUGGACGCCUUUUUAUGAUGGACCACUCUACUCUUGAUGACUUUAUACAGUGCUACGGGCCAUUCAAAUUAUGUGCAACAAGACUCCGGUAUCGACACAGCCCUCUCAAGAGCUCCUUAGUCACAAAUGGGAGUGGGUGAUAUCCAAAGACGACCACUCUAGCAGCCAAGUGGUCAGGUCAGCGUUGGACUGGAUGGACCGCUGCUGCAGGGAGGACUCGGCAUCACCGCCAGUCAUGACGGGACAAGUUCCGACGUCGGCGUCGAUCAUCGAAAUACAAGCCAGUAUAUCAUCGGGGAGAGGGGCGGACGACUUCGGUUCACGAAUAUCGAGGACGACGACGUCAGCACCCAGGUCAACAGUUGAGCUGGACUAGGCGGUGGACUGGACGGACCGCUGCAGGGACGACUCAGCAUCCCCGCCAGUCACGGCGGGACAAGUUCUGACGUCGGCGUCAAGAUUAGUCGUGCCGGUCGAUCGUCGACAUGCAAGCCAGCAUCAUCGUGGAAAGAGGGGCAGCCGACUUCGGUUUGCGAAUAUCGUUGUUAGAAAUCUCUUCGAUGCGCAGUCGUGUGGCGAUUGAUCGUGAUGGCCUUUCCUUUAAUGAUGGACCCUGGUUGUCAAUGAUUUUACUCAUUCAAAUUCAUGCAGAAUUAUGCAAAUUCAUGCAGAAUCAUGCAAAUUAUGAUACGUGUUAGACAUACAUCAUUGGCGUAAACAGCUCUUGGUGAUCAAGGCUGGCGGACGCCCCGGGCCACCCCUGGAAGCACAGUUAUGUUUUAUACACAAUAUGCAGUGCUUGUGCAUCACACAGGGCUGCCUAAAUAAUUAUGCCAGCCUUCAAGACUAGGAAGGAUUCCGUCUCAUGUUCGUUAUUAUAUUUGGUCGCUAAAUCUUGUUGUCUCAUAAGUUAGUAAGUAUUGUGGUGUUCUGAACCACAUUGACCUCAAGUGUAUAAUUUUCCUUCAUAUUUGGUCUGAUCUAAGCUGUAGUCGAGCUAUUAACUGAAUAGUAUGAUCAGAUACAAACACGGUAGCAACUACAAUGAACUUUCGAAAAUUCAUCUAGUAAGGGCAAUUCCAAUCGCCUUGUGUGUCCCCUACUAAAUGUGCGAACUUGGCAAUGACGUAUUUUGAUUCCGAAUAUGACAAAAUAUGGACAAAAUAUGCUUGGACUUGCCCAAUAAUAAUUAUCUUAGAUUCUAGGAUAACCAUCCCACAGAUGGACUAUACCCUAUAUGCGGACAAACUGAAUCAUAUAUAAGUAAACCUCUUGUCAAUGGCUUGAUUCUAAGUUUAGAGGCACAUGUCCUCAACGAAUGGUGAAAAGGACGAGGAAAAGGAUAGGAACAAAGGGAAAUGAGAUAAAAUAAAACUAAAAGAUAGAGGGGCAAAGGAAAUUGAAAGAGACGUCAUAGAACUCCCUCUCCCCAUAAUUAUCUCCCCUCCUUUCACUUUAUAUGAAUGUCGUUGAAAAAUGGUUAGAUACAGUAUGUAAUGUUUUGAUAUACAAUGUUUUGAAAUUUAAUGUUUUGAAAUUUAAUGUUUUGAAAUUUAAUGUUUUGAAAUGUUAUGCUUUCAAGCAAUGUCAAUGAUCAUUUAGCUAUGACUGUAAUUUUGGAAGUGUCAUAUUUAUCUGUAUUUGUUCAAGUUGCAGUGUUUUAUGAUAACUGCAGAGUGACUUUCUAUGAUUGUUUAAAUAAUGUUAAAAAAUAUCAGGUAUGAUCGCCCCAUAAAGCCUGCGUUUGCUUUUAUCCAUCAUGACUGUUGUAGAAAAAAUCCUAUAUUCAUCAAAACAAGUUUUUGGCUGGGAAGAACGUUUUAUGGCACUCGUUUAGUAUUUUUCCAUCCGGCUCUUACCUUUCUAACCCAAAGAAUUCUCCUCUUAGAGGGUUGUUGAAGGGCACCUCCGGUCCAAGAAUAACUUAUUUUCAAUAAAAGCGGAAAAUCAGACAAUUCGAUUCAAGCCUAACAAGGUUGAGUAAAGUCGAAUAACUAACUACGUAUCUUUUAGAGACAUGAAAAUUGAUGGAAAAAUAUUAAAAAAAUCACUUGACAAAUUGGCAAACUCAUUCAGUCAUGAGCUUGUGACUUCACUAUAGUUUUUCAUGAAUUCGGCCUUUUUUCUUUUAUCAUGCUUAGAUUGAUUAUAUAAUUCGCCAAAGCCUCCCAUAAACAUAUUAAGCCUUGACUGUUUUAUCGACAGUAAUACAUUUGUGUAUACAACUAUCAAGUAAAUGUUUUCUCUGUUAUGUACAUACAUUUCUAAAUGAAGUCAUGUUUGUAAAUGAAUUAGGAAGUAAUUUCUAGGGGGAUACAACUAAACAUUACAAGAUCUAAACAUGCAAUCAAUAAUAACUAGUUAGGGAACGGCAUCACAAACUCAUAACCAAGUUGCAUAUUUUUCACAAACUUGUUUGGAUAUGUUUGUCUCCGUUUUCUUUCCUCUUUUAAAGCAGGUAUCGUUCCACAAAACUGUCUCAAGUAGAAGUUCACCGACAUCCAACUAUGUGUAUUAAACUAACAUGCAUGUCAAUGGGAAGUUGGUAAUCUUUACGGUUUUGUGAAACGCUACCCAGUUUCUUCUUGGAACGGAUUUGUUCAGUUUUACGAUUGGAAUAACUAUUUCUUGUAGGUUGAUGCACUGAAGAAUGCAUAUGAUAUGGGCUUAAAAGUGAGAUUCGUUGCCACUUUCAAAUCAGCAGAUGGUCUAUUCACUGCGGAUAAAUACAUGUAGGCUUUUAUUCCAAUGGUCUCACUCUAAAAUCUAAUGAGAUUCGAGAUUUUUCAAAUAUCUUGCAGCUUAUUCCCCCCACCUUUUACGUGGAAGUAAGAUUGCCAUGCAAAACCGUACACUGAUGAGAGGCCCUUAAAAAAUUGCCCCCCC